GAAUCUUGCGCAAUGCGCGAAAGCGUGACGCAGCAACGCCGCGUGGGGGAAGAAGGCCUUCGGGUUGUAAAGCACUUUUUGCAGGAAAGAAACGUCGCGGGCUAAUACCCCGCGAAACUGACGGUACCUGCAGAAUAAGCACCGGCUAACUACGUGCCAGCAGCCGCGGUAAGACGUAGGAUGCAAGCGUUGUUCGGAUUUAUUGGGCGUAAAGCGUACGUAGGCGGUUCGCCAAGUCUGGUGUUAAAGCUAGGAGCUCAACUCCUGUGAUGCACUGGAAACUGGCGGGCUUGAGUGCGGUAGGGGAAAGUGGAAUUCCGAGUGUAGCGGUGAAAUGCGUAGAUAUUCGGAAGAACGCCAGUGGCGAAAGCGACUUUCUGGGCCGCAACUGACGCUGAGGUACGAAAGCGUGGGGAGCAAAC
rnacentral:rRNA from 1 species